ACAUUGAUACUGGCCACCUGUGAAUGGAGGAAAAAUCCCAGAGAAGACAGCAUUAGUGUUCAGAUGGCAUCAGUAAAACCAGUGAUCCAAAAUGUCAGCUGCAUUAUUCUUGUUCUUAUGCUAUCCCGGAAGAAAUUUGAAUCAGAUGGAUAUGAGACAAAACCACACCACUCAGUGACACAUAGUUAGAUUUAUGUAAUAAGGUAAAAAAAUGUCUAUAGUGGAUUGAUACAGUCAGUCAGGGCUGUGAAGAUAUAAACAGGAUCUUGUUUUUGUGAGCAAUGCUUUCAGGUCAGCUGUUCUGUGCUUGACAAUUGCAAGAGAAGAGAAAACAGAUCAAAAACCUCAAGCAUGUAUGACUUCUGUUGAUGAGAAUACACAUCUUACCAUAAGAGUAAAGAA